CCCUUCUCAAGGUCACACCUGGAGAGUUUCCAAUACACUACCAGCCUCGGCUACUGGAGGGAGAGUCAAGCAGAGGCAUACCCAUUCCAUUCGUAGCUUGGGCAGUGGCUAGCAAGUGGAAGGCAAUCUGCUACAAGU